GCCGAAGUGGUGAAAUUGGUAGACACGCCACCUUGAGGGGGUGGUGAGCGCACGCUCGUGGAGGUUCGAGUCCUCUCUUCGGCACCA
rnacentral:tRNA from 1 species